rnacentral:lncRNA from 10 species
GGUGUUUGUCAGCUGUGAAGCAGUGGCACCUGCUGUAUUAGUAGCCUACAAGAGCAUCAUCCCAGGAGUCUGGAGAAACAGCUAAGGCCAUUUCAGCCCUUGGCAGGGGGAAAAUGCCGGAAGACUCCAGGGUGGGAGAAAGCCCAUCACAAGGCCCAGGAUCUGAGAGGAGACUCACUUCUUCCAGGUCCAAUCCCCUAUGCUCCUUCCGUCCAUAAGACCUACUCAAAGGCCCCACUGGGCUUCUGACCACUCACCAACCCCCUAUUCUUACCUGUUCCUACCAACUUCUUACCUGUUCCAAAUUAUGCAAAAAAAGUGCCCCCUCGUCACCCUGGGAAGACCUGGAGGCAACUAAGGCCCUAGGUUUGAGGAGACAGUGCUGGGCCAAACCUCCUUGAUCUUACCAGUUCUGUGACCCUAGAGAAGUUUUCUGGUGUUUUGGGGCCUCCCCAGCCCUGCAACAUGCACAAUGGGGUUUUGCUAGCAUCUCCUUCCUGGUGAACUCAUCAGGUGUCUUUGAGAUAAAUCUUAUAAAACUCAUUGUUUGGUGUCCCCUGUAGAUACUGCACACGCUUAGAGAUGGAAGAAUUUCAAGAAGAAGUGAGGGGUGAGAGGUAGCAUGGAAUACAACUCCAAUGGGCUUGGGGUCCACAGUGUGAUCUCG